GAUGAACGCUGGCGGCGUGCUUAACACAUGCAAGUCGAACGGAAAGGCUCCUGCUUGCAGGGGUACUCGAGUGGCGAACGGGUGAGUAACACGUGGGUGAUCUGCCCUGCACUUCGGGAUAAGCCUGGGAAACUGGGUCUAAUACCGGAUAGGACCACAUUUUGGAUGGUGUGGUGGAAAGUUUUUCGGUGUGGGAUGAGCUCGCGGCCUAUCAGCUUGUUGGUGGGGUAAUGGCCUACCAAGGCGUCGACGGGUAGCCGGCCUGAGAGGGUGUACGGCCACAUUGGGACUGAGAUACGGCCCAGACUCCUACGGGAGGCAGCAGUGGGGAAUAUUGCACAAUGGGCGCAAGCCUGAUGCAGCGACGCCGCGUGGGGGAUGACGGCCUUCGGGUUGUAAACUCCUUUCGCUAGGGACGAAGCGUUUUUGUGACGGUACCUUGAGAAGAAGCACCGGCUAACUACGUG
rnacentral:rRNA from 1 species